UCUUUUAAUCUGACUCUCUUUAUUGAACAGUCUUUCUUUUCUCACUUUUGAGCAAGCCACGGCAUCCACAUUUAACUGACCAGAUCACAAUCGCCACAGUUUGUCUAAUAUUGCUUUGAUGGGCUGAUCAGUUCGAAUGGCUUUUGAGUUCGAAUGAUUGAAGUAAAAUUUCCUGGAUCUAGGGUCUCGAAUUGAGCUUAGUGUUCGAGGAGACUCUGUAAAUCACGUGUGAGGACUUUGUAGCUCGCAUGCGAUGAGAUUUCACCGUGUGAGCUCGAACCAAUUUUUUCUGGCUCGAGAUAUUUUGUGGCUCGUUGGAGGAGAUUUUGUCGUGCGAUUGCAGUUCGCACUCAAAAGUGAAUUUUGAACUCGCACCUUCCAGUUCGCACUCGAAGUGAACUUUGCGAACUCGCACAGAUUUUGCAGUUUGCUUCGAAGUGUACUUUGGGUUCGAAGUGGUACGAAGCAAAUUUCACGAAGUUGUGCGAAGUGGGUCUGAAUUGGUGGGAACUUGAAGAGAUUGGUGCUCGCACUGGUGCUAAGAGAGGUUCACACUGGCCUGAUUUAAAUUAAUCAUGGUGGCAGUUCCUGGUCUCGAACCUCAAGACCAAAUUUGAUUUUCAUGUCCAUCGCAGCAACAUGGUCGCGCGCAAGUAAACAUGCUAUCCUCGCAUGGGCCUCAAACUAGUGAAAAUUGCUGACC